rnacentral:lncRNA from 1 species
CAGUGACUUGGAAAUUUUUUAUGUGAAUUGCAUCAUUGAUAGCUCUUAUUAUACUUUUGUUAGACAGCAUUGACAUAGAAGCUCAGAGCAGAGACAUCACGGAGAUGGUAACCAGACCUCUGGGGAGGAGAGUGGCUGGCUGGUAUGUCAGUCUCUGUGAUGGUUUGACGUGUGUGGAAAAACUAUGAAAUGGAACCACUGUCCUACCAAGGCUUCAGUGGACCUGGGAUGCUGUCCGUAUUUUGUGAUAGUGGUGAAGAAAGCAGCAUGCUUGUCCUUCUGUGUCACAGCCCCUGGAGUGAGCAGCUAAAGGUAGGUGUAGCGAUUAUCUUGGUUUGCAUUCUUCGUGGCCCCCAUAAUCCCUUCAUAUCUUGUUAGUUAAUUAAUCAAUUCUUCUUUCUUCCACUGUUAGAGUUUCUGAGAGGAAUAUUCUGAAUGGUCUAUGAGGAAUACAAGCCACAUCCUUGGGUUGUCAGAGAGCAAAACACACCUUGGUUUGAAGUUCUACCGCUGUUUCACCCAAUAAGAAAGAAAAAGAAAUAGGUCACUCUCCCUACAAGAUCAGGGAAGGGUACAGAAAGAUCAGCAGAUGAUGUGUCACUGGAUCAGUGUGAGAUAACAUAAAGAGAUGCAGAAAGACUGCCCCGAGCCCUGAACAGUAUCUGAGGGUUCACAGAAGUGCUGAGAGUACACUGGAAUUCCUCAGGCUGCAAGAUUGAGAGUUUCACCCUAGUUAGCUGACUGCAACUGACAUUUAAGAUGUUGGUGGGUGACUGCUGUUAAGAUUUCUAUUUCUUUGGUUACCAGUGUAGUUAAAUACUUGCCCUCUCUUUCUUACUGAGUUUUAGUUCUAUAAAGUUUAUCCUGUUGUUUGCCUGUGUUUCCUCUUAGGGAUGUAGUCAUUUUUUUCAAUUAACUUAUCUUUUACAUUUUAGUGACAAUAGUAUAGCUGUUUGCCUGGGGCUCUGUGAUAAUUUUUCUAGUUUAUAAUUUUCUUUUGAUUUUGCUAUCACAAAUAAGUUUUAUGUUUUUAAAAGUAUUUUUUCAUUACAUUUCCUUUAUUGUUAUAUGUGCUUCUUGGUCUACUGGAAUUCAUAUUUUUCCUUUUAUGAAUGUUGAGUAGUUAAAAUUAUGUCUUCCUUCC